rnacentral:snRNA from 1 species
GUGCCCACUUCGGCAGCACAUAUACAAAAUUGUAACGAUACAGAGAAGAUUCGCAUGGUCCCGGCGCAAGGUAGACAACGCAGAUCGUGAAGCAAUCCAAAAAUUU